rnacentral:tRNA from 1 species
GCCGGGAUGGUGGAAUUGGUUGACGCAGCGGACUCAAAAUCCGCCGGCCUUACGGCCUUGCGAGUUCAAGUCUCGCUCCCGGUACCA